UAGAGUUUGAUCAUGGCUCAGAUUGAACGCUGGCGGCAGGCCUAACACAUGCAAGUCGAGCGGUAGCACAAGAGAGCUUGCUCUCUGGGUGACGAGCGGCGGACGGGUGAGUAAUGUCUGGGAAACUGCCUGAUGGCGGGGGAUAACUAGUGGAAACGGUAGCUAAUACCGCAUAACGUCGCAAGACCAAAGUGGGGGACCUUCGGGCCUCACGCCAUCAGAUGUGCCCAGGUGGGAUUAGCUGGUAGGUGGGGUAACGGCUCACCUAGGCGACAAUCCCUAGCUGGUCUGAGAGGAUGACCAGCCACACUGGAACUGAGACACGGUCCAGACUCCUACGGGAGGCAGCAGUGGGGAAUAUUGCACAAUGGGCGCAAGCCUGAUGCAGCCAUGCCGCGUGUGUGAAGAAGGCCUUUGGGUUGUAAAGCACUUUCAGCGAGGAGGAAGGGUAAUGUGUUAAUAAGACAUUGC
rnacentral:rRNA from 1 species